rnacentral:rRNA from 1 species
UACGUAGGUGACCAGCGUUGUCCGGAUUUACUGGGCGUAAAGAGCGCGCAGGCGGUCGUUCAAGUCGAGUGUGAAAGCCCCCGGCUCAACUGGGGAGGGUCACUCGAUACUGAUCGACUUGAAGGCAGGAGAGGGAAGCGGAAUUCCCCGGUGUAGUGGUGAAAUGCGUAGAUAUCGGGGAGGAACACCAGUGGCGAAGGCGGCUUCCUGGCCUGUUCUUGACGCUGAGGCGCGAAAGCUAGGGGAGCAAACGGG